AAUAGUUACCAAAAAUAGUGUUGGAAUGAAACUCAUUCCAGCACUAUUUUUGAAAUCGGAAUACUGUCAUUAUAAACGCAAAACAGAGAAAAUUAUUACUGAGUGUUUUCGGUUUUGCGCAGGGGGAAAGACUAAGCAUUAGUAUAAAAGAAUGGACAUUCGACGAUAUUAUUAUCAAGUAGAGCAUUCGCAAUACUACAGCUUAAAAAUGAAAUUCGUGGGUUUGAUUCUUGUCGUAGCUAAGGCCGAGAAAUCUGGAGCCAAGUGCUGUCCGGAAUAGUAGGCAGCAGGAACACAGUUUUUUGUCUAUAUAGAAUUUUAUUUACUGUAUAGAGUUGAAUAAAAUGUAGAUUACCUACA